AUAUUGAAUUUUUCGGUAAAUGGUCUAUAUACUAAAGCCUAUAAUCUUUAGUGUUGUUUUAUUAUUUCUAAACACAUUCCAAAUUUGUAUUAAUGUAUAAUAAACUCUCUUUCAUAUUACAUUGACAUCGUUUUAAAUUUUGUCAAUUAAUUUAGUAAAACUUAAUAAUAUUCUCUAAAUUGGUGGACUAACCACUAUAAAAUCGCUAUUUUCUAGAGAAACGGAGACAACAAAAGUUCCAAACCUCUUUGACCUUCAUCAUAUGUUAGUGAAUGAUGCAAAUGCGCAUUAAAACAUUAUUUUAAUAUUUUUGAAUUUUUUUCAAAAUCUAUUUUUUAACCCCUACGAAAAUAUUAAGAUUUCCAUUAAAUAUUCUAUAUACGGAAGCCUAUGAUCUUCAGUGUUGUUUUAAACUUUUUAAACACAUUUUACAUUUGAAUUAAUGUAUAUUAAACUCUCUUUCAAGGUACAUGGAUAUUAUUUUAAUUUUUUUUGUCAAUUAAUUUAGUAAAACGUCAUGAUACUCGUUAAAUUGGUGAACUAACCACUAUAAAAUCACUAUU